rnacentral:sRNA from 1 species
AAAGCACUACUACUCCAGAGUUUUUCAAGGUCGUAAACCUUGUAAAUGAUGUUUCCGAAGUAAGCUUUUGUCUAUUUACAGAAUUCUUAAAAUGGUUUUGAGAUUUGAAGUUCUGCUUUCUCAAGAUUUGUAAUGUUAUUGUAUCUUCGCAGAUAGAGGUGAAUACAAUUAUUGGAAACCCAGAAGAAUUCAAGUCUUUAGUUCCUGAUUUCCACACAGACGACACAGAAUUCCAACAGAUUUUGGAACUUGUUAAGAUGGGCUACAGAUUGAAGAAAACUGAAUGGAAUACAAGAUGCGUUGAUGUUUGUCCUGCCCUUGAAGAAGUAGGUCAAAACAAAAUCAAUAACAAAAUAUCUGAUAGCGAGAAGCUUGACAGGAUUUUGACAAUCCUUGAAGAUCUUAACAAGAGAGUCGAGCUGAUUGAGAGGAUUUUGGACAUUAGAAUGGAGGAAAAGAAUAAUCAGAGAUCUGAGGAAGAUGAAAAAAGAAAACAAGAAGAUGAAGGACUAGAAAGACAACCAGAGGUAAUUGUAAAUGUUUCUUUAAAAGCUAUUUGAAAGGAAAGGUUUUACAAUAUAUUUUAAAGGUUAAAUACGUAGUAAACCUUUAAAAUGUACUCUUUCUUUUCGCAGGCUGAAGAAGAAGGAGGACCAGAAAGAAAAGCCGAGGUAAUUGACAAUCUUAACAAGCUAUUUUAAAGGUCUGCUAAUUAUAUUAAUGAUUGACUUAUU